UGAGUUGAGUUGAGUUGUAUAAUAUGAUUUUAUAUAUAAUAUACCAUUCAUGUAGUAAUUUUAUGUAAGUAUAUUGAUAAUAGAUCCAAGUUUAUGAAUUUAUAUUUAGUGAAACUAAAUAUUUAUAUUAAUAUGAUGUGAUUAAUUCCAUACAAAGUCAUGAAUUUUCAGUUAUUUAAUUUUUUUUUAUUUUUACCCCUCACCUUACUCAGGCGCGCGUGCUUGCGCUUGUGCCUUGCGCCUAGGCCCAGGACCUUUUUAGCGUCUUGGUGUGCCUUGAGCCUUUAAUAAUUAUGAUAUAAACAGAGCAUCAGUUUCAUAUCAAGCAAAACACCAUGAAUGUCUUCUUCUAUAAUCCAUGAAUCUCGUCUUCUCUAAUCAGCCUAUCUCCAACCUAAUUGGUAAUAAGUAAACAGACAUGAAUAGGAUAAUGCUGGAAUGACAUAAUAUCCACUGAAUAUGAUUGCCUGAAGAAAUUGAAAGCAAUCUUGUGCAAAACUUCCUGAUCAGUAAUUCCACACCAAAAAUUUUGUUUGUUUUCCGCAUUGAGGGCGCUGGUGUUAUCUUCGACACCAAAACUACCCUGCAAUGUGCCUGCCCUGCUCCACCUAAUCAGUUUCACUAUUUUUGACAUCCACAAGGAGUAAAGAACCAGACCUCCUUGGGGACUGAAAUUGAAGCAAAUGGCCUACAAUCAGCUUUUGCCUUGUAAUAGUUGUAUUAAAAGAAAAAGACUA
rnacentral:misc_RNA from 1 species